rnacentral:rRNA from 1 species
UACGAAGGAUCCUAGCGUUGUCCGGAUUUACUGGGUUUAAAGGGCGCGUAGGCGGUUCGUUAAGUCCUGUGUGAAAUCCCCCGGCUCAACUGGGGAACUGCACAGGAAACUAGCGGGCUUGAAUCCGGGAGAGGGAUGUGGAAUUCCAGGUGUAGCGGUGAAAUGCGUAGAUAUCGGGAGGAACACCAGUGGCGAAGGCGAGUCUCGUGGGAUGAUGCUGACGCUGAGGCGCGAAAGCCAGGGAGCAAACGGG